rnacentral:rRNA from 1 species
CCUACGGGCGGCAGCAGUGAGGAAUAUUGGUCAAUGGGCGCGAGCCUGAACCAGCCAAGUAGCGUGAAGGAUGACUGCCCUACGGGUUGUAAACUUCUUUUAUAAAGGAAUAAAGUGAGGCUCGUGUGCCUUUUUGUAUGUACUUUAUGAAUAAGGAUCGGCUAACUCCGUGCCAGCAGACGCGGUACUACGGAGGAUCCGAGCGUUAUCCGGAUUUAUUGGGUUUAACGGGAGCGUAGAUGGGUUGUUAAGUCAGUUGUGAAAUUUUGCGGCUCAAACGUAAAAUUGCAAUUGAUACUGGCAGUCUUGAGUACAGUUGAGGUAGGCGGAAUUCGUGGUGUAGCGGUGAAAUGUUUAGAUAUCACGAAGAACUCCGAUUGCGAAGGCAGCUUACUAAACUGCCACUGACAUUGAUGCUCGAAAGUGUGGGUAUCAAACAGGAUUAGAUACCCUAGUAGUC